rnacentral:lncRNA from 1 species
UCGUUUUUCUUUUUUCACAGAAGUUUGAACAUUGGCGAACCGUGGAAGAUUCUUCUGGACGUAAAGAAGAAGUCUAUACUAAAGUAGCAGAUGGCCAAAAACACACGAUAACCCGUAAAGUCGAUUCAGUGGGUAAUGAAGAAGAAACUGAAGAAGUACAGACCUUGGGAAACCCUUAUGAAGACCAGUUUGAUAGAACAUCAAGGAGUCCCUUAAGUGAUAAUCAUGAUCAGGCAAAUGACCAGCUUUACAGUCCCUACCAGCAAGGAAUCUCGUCAAUCAGAUAUUACUUCUCAAAUUUAUUUGGUUUUAAACGUGAUUAAAUUGUUGCUUCUUGUAAUUUCUUUCAUUCAGUUGUGAUUUUUAUGUAGAUUCAGCUUUUGUAAUAAAUUCUAUUACAGCAUU